GCCCGCUCCUCGGUGCCCGGUGCGGGGUGGGGCGCGCGGGGCUGGGGGGGCGGUGCGGGGCCGCCCGGAGCCGUGAAACGAGCCCGAAGGGUUUGCCCCGCCCGCACCGAGCGGAGUCGCGGCUGUACCCCCCAUCCCCCCGCGUCCGCCAUCCCGCACCCGAGCACGGAGCCGCUAUGGGGGCAUCGCGGGGCCGCUCGGUGCCGCGUCCCAGGUUGGCCCCGCGGAGCGGCGGCCCCGCGCCCCGCACCGUCCCGCGUUCGCCUCUUACCGGGGCUCCAGGCGCGGCGGGCGGUUCGGCGCGGCGGGGCGGGGCCGGGUGGAGCGGGGCGGAUCCCGGAAGCCCAAACGGGAACGGCCCCGCGCCGGAGCGGACGGCGGGCACGGCACCCGGAACAGCGCCCGGAACCGCCCGGCGGCGGCGGGGAUCGAACCGCCGGCCAGAGGAGUCGGAAGAGGGCGUGGCAAAGAGGGGGCGUGGUCAUGCAGAGGGCGUGUCAUGGGGGGGGCGGGGCUACAGUGGGCGUGGCGGAAGGGGGCGGGGCUUUCCCGGGGCUCUGCCGGAGGUGUGGCGGAAGAGGCGGGGCCUCGCGGGGGCUGCCGGGAGGUGUGGCGGAAGUCGGGGGUGCCACUGGGAGGUGUGGCGGAAGGGGCGGGGCCACGCGGGGGCUGCCGGGAGGCGGGGCCGGGGCGCUGGGCCCGGAGCGGAGCGGAGCGAUGCAGAAGUACCUACGGGACCGUGUUCAAGGCCAAGAACCGGGAGACGCACGAGAUCGUGGCGCUGAAGCGGGUGCGGCUGGACGAUGACGACGAGGGCGUGCCCAGCUCGGCGCUGCGGGAGAUCUGCCUGCUGAAGGAGCUGAAGCACAAGAACAUCGUCAGGUGAGGGCGCCGGGCCGUACCCCCGGGCUCCGCGCGGCUCCCGGUGCUGAUGCCGCUCCCCGCAGGCUGCACGACGUCCUGCACAGCGACAAGAAGCUGACGCUCGUCUUCGAGUUCUGCGACCAGGUGAGCCGGGUGCGUGCGGCGCUGGUGCCUGCCCCGCCGUGCCCUGACGC
rnacentral:lncRNA from 1 species